UACGUAGGGUGCAAGCGUUGUCCGGAAUUAUUGGGCGUAAAGGGCUCGUAGGCGGUCCAUCGCGUCGGGAGUGAAAAGCUGGGGCUUAACCCCAGUCCUGCUUCCGAUACGGGUGGACUAGAGGUAGGUAGGGGAGAUCGGAAUUCCUAGUGUAGCGGUGAAAUGCGCAGAUAUCAGGAGGAACACCAAUUGCGAAGGCAGCUCGCUGGGACGUGACUGACGCUGAGACGCGAAAGCGUGGGGAGCAAACAGG
rnacentral:rRNA from 1 species